rnacentral:rRNA from 1 species
GACGAACGCUGGCGGCGUGCCUAAUACAUGCAAGUCGACCUUAGUGGCGGACGGGUGAGUAACACGUGGGAACCUACCCAUCAGAGGGGGAUAACACUUGGAAACGGGCGCUAAUACCGCAUACUAUCAGAUGAGCCUAGGUCGGAUUAGCUAGUUGGUGGGGUAAAGGCCUACCAAGGCGACGAUCCGUAACUGGUCUGAGAGGAUGAUCAGUCACACUGGAACUGAGACACGGUCCAGACUCCUACGGGAGGCAGCAGUGGGGAAUAUUGGACAAUGGGCGGAAGCCUGAGCCAGCCAUGCCGCGUGAAUGAAGAAGGCCUUCGGGUUGUAAAGUUCUUUCGGUAGCGAGGCGUUAACUACAGAAGAAGCACCGGCUAACUCCGUGCCAGCAGCCGCGGUAAUUC